UGAAAACGGCAGCUGGCUGGGGAUUGG
rnacentral:sRNA from 1 species